ACAACUCCUAAACACACAAGAUGCAUGUACUCGAAAGGCACUUGAGAAACCAUUCCUAUGGGUAGUUCUGACAAUGGACUCUUACCAUCUUUAUGAUGAUCCUCAUCUAAACAUGCAAUGUAUUCUUCAUUAGUUCGCAGGGAAUGAUUAACACCACAGAAAAUAUUACGUCCUUCACAUAUUACACCAGAAAUUUUACAUUUAGAGCAUGGAUGACUGGACAUAUGGCUUCGAUGAUUGAGAAUAAAAGCACGAGCUGGUGCAUCAGCUAUGAAGCAUCUUAAACGUAUAGGUAAUUUUUUUCUAUGAAAAGGCCUUUGUAUAUCCCUACCACUAUUGGUUUGGAAUGUCUAAUGUUCGCGAGUCUACACUGAAUUGGCCAAAUAUGAAUACUGCCUGAUUUGUCUAGAUUACAUCCGUCGGUAUUAAAGUCAAUGUCUAAUUCGCUUGGAAGAGAUAGUAUUGGAAAGCGCUCAAGUUCUCUGGAAAUGCGUGCUCCUAUAUCAAAAUGAAUGUAUUCGCCUGGAUCAACUUUACAUGUGACAAUUUUAUCUCGUGGAGUACCUACAAUUGUUCUCACAUCUUUCUGAGGCCAGUUUCUCUCGAAACGAUGGCUCAACCGAGGAAGUACUAACAGAAGACAAAGUAUUAUCAAAAGAAAGAACAUCAUUAUGAAGAAGAAUAUUGUCAUCUUCAACGUUUAUAGAACACGUACUAUCGCAAAUAUUAUUUUCCACACAAUUAGUAUGUUUUGUAUUUGACGCGCCCAACGUAUCUUCAGUAUUAAUAUUAUCUAAUUCUCUUAAAGUAUUCUUUAUAUACAAACUUUUACUUUGCAAGUUAGUUUUUAUUUCGGAUCUAAUUCUUCUUUGUUGUCUAUCACUUAAUUGAUGCCACCUUUUUCGCGAAAUAGAGCGUUUUAGUAAAUAAGGUUUUAUACUUAUCUGGUGUUAUUUCUCGCUGUUGUCCAAGUAGCUAUUUUCUCUCCGAUGAAGAGUGUAUAAUAUUUCUUGCUGUAGUCUAAAUAUUCUGUCUCACCAAAUAAGAAAUCUGAAAAAUUUUUUAAUUUCUAAAUUUUUAAUAGACAAAAUAUUCGCACACCAAGAUAAAAUUUUUGAGACCGUUGUCAAGGGCAAAAAAUUGGCAUCUGUUUUAAAUAAUUACUAUCGCAUAGCAAUACAGCUCGUUUUAUUGUUUUAUAAAUGCUAGCAAAUGUAAAAAA